rnacentral:rRNA from 1 species
CCGGCCGGCGCGACGGUGAGUAACGCGUACUAACCUUACCUAUGAGGAGGGGACGAACCGGCGAAAGUCGGACUAAUACCGCAUGAAGCAGGGGCCCCGCAUGGGGAUAUUUGCUAAAGAUUCAUCGCUGAUAGAUAGGCAUGCGUUCCAUUAGGCAGUUGGCGGGGUAACGGCCCACCAAACCGACGAUGGAUAGGGGUUCUGAGAGGAAGGUCCCCCACAUUGGUACUGAGACACGGACCAA